UCUCUCCCCUCACGUCAGUCUUUGCCUUUCGAUCUCUGUCUCUGCCUUCCACCCCUCUGGCCUCCAAUCCGCCCCCAGUUCUCUUUUUUCCUCCCCUUUUCCCUCCUCUAGAGCCCCGAGGUUGAGUCCAGACAGCAAGACAAUCAAUACGAAGCGAAAAGCCACCCAGAGGUUUCCAGGCCGCCAGAUGUGCAACAUAUUUAGACAGAACAGCUGGAUAAUUUAACAACAUCCUUCUUUUCCCCGGAAUGUCCGCCGCCAGGGCGUCUGAGACGGCGCGUCUGCAUGAGGACACACACAUGUCCGCGCCCGUGUUCCCCCUUGGGCCACUGUGCAGAAGCCACCAUCCUCUGAAAGCCCCGCUGCAUCCUUUCAUGUGACCGGAUCCAGCUUCCUCCCUCUGCAGCGUCCGUCUUUUCCCCCUCCUGUCUAGUCUGGCUUAGACCCCGGGGCUGCUUAAGCAUGGCAAAAUCCUUCCGCAGGUAUCCUGUGAUCUUCAUCGUGAGCUCAGGAGCGAGUGUUUGGAAAGAUCAAAUAAAGUGAGAGGAGGAAACUGAAGCUCAGAGGAACGGAGGCAUUUGCCCAAGGUCACGCAGCCAGUCAGCAGCAGAGCAGCAGCCUGAACACAUCGCUCCUGGGCUCGGUCCUGCGCGGGGACAGGACAAGAAAGCCGCUCACGGGGACUCCUCUCAGAGACCAGCGUGGUCAGAGGAAGCCUUUGAAAAGUUUGUUGGCGUUGGGUAAAGGGCAGAAGCCCCAAGGGACACGCAAGCCCAUCUCAUAAACCGCCUUCUAAGGAGAGGUUUUGUUUUGCUAACUUCGGGGCCAGAGGAGAAGCCAACCAGACGGCUCCCGCACCCCUUUCUCCACCCUGUCCGUUGCAGGCCCAGUCCCUGCUCUAAAUUAACAUGGAGCACACCUUUGAAGAGUGCUGGUUUGAUCUGUUAGCCAGUCUGGGUCACCAAUAGGCUUGAUGAGGUCCCCCCUAGAAACUUAUCCCCCAACAUCUGUGCUCGCUUCUUCCUUUAGUAAUAAAACCACACAUGGCCAUCCAGAAUAGAGAGUACACUUCAUUGCAGCCAAGAGUGAUGACUACCAUAUGAUUACCCUCCAGCCAAUGGGAUACAGUACAAGAAGAGGCUUUCCAAGGCACUGACGUCUUAGCAAAUGAAGCUGAGACCAUCACAAGAUCCUAGACGCCAAGCCUUCUGCCAUGACCGCAUGUGACUCUUUGAGAUGUCUUCCUCGGAGGGGCCGGGGGGGAGGCGGAUGUAUUUGCAGUGCAGAUGGAAGAGAGGACGGGCGUGUCGCACGGGGCUCAGAAUGAGGAGACACGUGGAGCAGAGCCCAGCAGAACUGCGGUUGCAGCCGCUGACACUCACGAGAGCAAGACAUGCAUGUGUUGUACACCACGGAAACGUUAGGGGAGAAGGAUCAGCUGAGCUGCCGUUUCAGACCCCAGGCCUCCCCAGGGCCCGCUCCUGCGCCUCACGCUGGGAUUGCAACCUCUCUGAGUCAGCCCUGGCAAAGUACUGCUAAACAGCCUGCCUCGGGCCUCCGAAAGAAACCCUCCGCCACCAGAAACCACAAGAGCAGAAAACCCACAGCUUCAGAUGCUUUCGCCGGAGCUCGGAAAACUCACAACAAACGGCAAAUGCGUUGGUGCCGAUCUUAUCGAUGGAUGCCCUUCCUGUAAGACUGGAAAGAGAAAUUGGUCCAGUCUUCAAAGUCUGCCUGCUCUUGCCUGGACCGGACGACCUUGAACUUUCAGGCAAGCAGCCAUCUAAGAGGUCUGGGCACACGCAACUUCACAGCCGUGCACACGUGCAUGCACAACAACGCAUCCACCUGCACACAGGACUGAGUUAGCCGGAUCCCUGUUUAGAUGACUUUCAGGUCUUUUCCACGUUGCUGGUUUUGUUUGCAUCACGAGCGACGUGGAUGUGUCUCUGCGGUCUGUGCAGUGGGUGGCACUUUAGGCACUGACUUGGUUUGAGCUCCCCCCAGAGAGACUCGGAGACAAGGAUUCUGUUGCAAACUGUUUGUUUGAGUGGCGAUUCCAGGAAAUAUCAGGAAGGGAGUAGAGAAGGGAGACAGAGAGGGAAGUUAAUAAAAGGGUACAUUUUAUCAAGCAAAUUACCACGGUGGGCAACUGGGGCUCAGUUCUGCUGGGGAGCACGGGGGACCGUGCAGAGCAUGCCUCAGACUUAUCUCACCCGAGGCCAGAGAGCUGGAGUAUUUAUCCUCCAACCCCCGCCGGUCAGUGGUGGAGUGAUGCUCCAGGGGGAGUCAACUCCCUGGCACUUCUGAUUUGCCCCCACACUGGCCGAGCCAGCCCUGGUGGACAGACAAGUCCAGGGGCCGGCAGUGAGCAGGUCCAGGACCGGAGGGAGAUGAGCCAGGGGCCAAGGUUGCAAAAUAAGGA
ensembl:lncRNA